GAUGACAUUGGCCAGAGAGGUGGAACCAGUGGUUUCCAACCAUUUGCUGUGUCAUUUCUGUGAACUUUAAAUCUUUAAAUCUUCCUGGUGGUCUGCCAAAUCUUGAUCCAGGUAUAAAAUUGCCUUUUGCUACAACGUAUUACUGAGCAGGCAGUUCAGACAGUUAACUGCCUGAUGGAGCAUUCUGCUGAGUGGAUCGCAAGAUGUAAAACUGGGAACAAUUUUGCCAUACAGUAGACUAGAUAGGAAGGAGAGCAAAUAGAUAGAAGAUUCGAGGAUGAAAGAGCUUUGUUCUUCCAUGAAAGAAGGAAGGAACUAACUUCAAGUGAGGCCUCUUCCCUCCCUCCACUCCAUGGCACGUCUCCAUCGCAUGUGCAGAGGACAGAUUAGAACCGACAAAGUGAAGCAGACAAUGAGACAAUCCCCUGGACACACACCAUCACCUGAAAGGCAAGGAAUGAAUAAAAAGAAGUUUUAUUAAAGAAUUUUCAGAGGCCUUAUUUUUUUAUGAGUUUUUACUCUUAAAAGUGGAGGAGAGGAAGAAUAUGGAGAUUAAGAGAGAACUGGCCUAUCCCUUUCAGCCCAGAAAGGCAACUUCAAGCAGCCCCCAAGACAUUCUUCUACUAUGCAGACAUAUGCAUUAUUGGCCUUGGUUACUGAUACUUUUGGGAGCCUGCAAAAUCACUGAAAAUAGAGAUUGAUAGAAGAGUUUGGGUUUAUUUAGAGGCACUUGGGAGCACUAGUAAAGAGUAACUCACUGAAGAGCCAGAGAUAAGAAUUUGUAAAUAAACUUAACAAAAAGGCAGGGAGGGCUGGGCAUCAUUGGAAAAGUAUGAAAGAAUCUCUUGGGACUUUUUGAUGCUCGUGGACAGCUACGUUUAAACUUUCUGAUGCUAAGUGUCAGUCUUCUCCCAAAUGGGAAAAUCCUUCAGAGGAGGAUCUAUGGCAGCUCCAUUUUCAGGAGACUCUUCUUAAGGGUAGGUGAUGGUUCUUUUUUGUGGCUUUUGAUAGUUCAGAUGGUUUCAACUGAAAGUAAUUUGAAUUUCAACUGAAAUCACUUUGGUGAGUUCUUGAGUUCUUAAUCCCUUCCUGGAUUUUAGCCACAUCCCCGGCCUUUACCCACUAGACACCAAUAGAAACAUCUUCCAUCUCCAGCAGGAAAUCAGAAAUGUCCUCAGACAGGGCCAAGUGCCCCAGGGAAGGUGGGUGAAAAUCGCCUCAAGGUGAAACCAGUUACUCUUAAGAUUAAAAAAAAAAUAGAAUUAAGGGGGAAAAAACACUGAUGGAUUGAAAGCAUAAUUUUUAACCAUACAAUUAAAUUUUGAAGUGUAUUUAUUUACUCCUUGCCAUGAAAGAUUUUUUAAAAUUGGCAAUUUCUUCCACAUUUCCUCCUUCCAUCUCCUGAUAUUGGUUAGCCUUGAUUUUUAUGUUUUAAAAAUUUAAAGCACAUUUUAUUCUGUAGCCAAAAUUCUGAUAAUUAGUAAACUAUUAAAAUAAAUCCACAUUUCACCCUAUGUCCUGUACCACAGCUUCUCCAUUCUUUCCUGAGUUCAUGAAGUAGAUGUACAAUAGAAAUCUUCCAGAAUUGGAGAUAAAGCCUCCAAAUUGAACAGAAAGUACCCCAACAUUCUAGAGACAAGUACUAAGGAAUCCCAGACACACUCUACAGAACUUUCAAGAUGCGUGGCAGUUCCAGCCCUGCUAUCACCUCCACUCCAGCCUACAUAUGCAGAAGAUAAUAACUGAGAGAAGAUUAUGGGGUAGUAAGAAGAGUUGUGCUGUGCUACUCCUCCUCUGCACUUCCCCACAAACACAGCAAGAUGAAACAAAGGAUGAUUGUACCAGAGAAGAAAAGGACUCAGAAAAAGGAGGGUAUGUGGAGGAGACAAGGGAAGGCAGAGAGAAGAAGGAAGGACACCCCUGUAGUGGAGGAAAUAUCUUUGUUCCUCCACCAUCUUAGGUUUAGUGGCUGGAACCCACAAAUGGAACUGAUCAAAGACAAAUUGACAAGUGAAAAAAGUUUUAAUUAUGUACUACAUGUAGAACCUGCAAAGUAAAAUGUGGCUCAAGGUGGCCAGAUGAUUACAUACUAUCUUAUGCUAAACAAAAAAUAAGGGGUUUUGAGCAUCUUUGAUGGGGAGGAGUUAUAGGAGCAUGACUGAGGCAUAGGGACUCAAGAGCAGCUGGUCCUUGGGGUCCCAAAUGCACCAGGUUCAGCCACCUGCUGCGAUAAAAUUCAGAGGUGGAGAAAUGAGCGGUGGUGAAAUAAGAAAGGAAUGUAUUCCAGUGAAGCUGUCACCAGGAAGAUAGCCGACUAAGGUCUCAAAGACUGUUUCUCAAGUGCUGAAAAUACCUCUAGGCUUAUACUGCAGGUGGGCAGCAUAGGUCAGGUUGAUCAUUGUCUUGGGGUCAAUCACAUGGGGUCUUGCUGUCGUCAGGGCAGUCCUUGUUGCUUGAGGAAGUAUUUUCAGUUCCCAUCACGGGAUGCUUUGACCUCCUGGCCAGCAAGGUCUUUUGCCUGAGUUAAGAGAUAAGCUGGAAAGAAGAACUUAAUCAAUUAGAAUGUACAGACUGAGGUCAAAAUGAAGGGAGUUGAGGUCCUCUUUCAGAAGGAAAUGUAUGAUUAAUAAGGUUUGUUGUGUUAUGCAGAUUGAACACAGGUGAUAAGAGCUAUGUCUGGAAGUAGCUCUCUUCCUGGCAUAGAGACAUCUUUAUGAAUGGAAAUUUCCUUUUUAAGUAUAAAUUUAUUUUACCAAAGGGAAAAUUUGGGCUGUUUUUAGAUAGUUAAGGGGAAGUAAAGAGUUUUUCCUAGUCUACUUGUGCUCAGUUGUAUUUCACUUGAAGUAACUCAUAGGCCAGCAGGACAUAUUUGAGAGUGGUGUACUCUGGUACCCCUCAUCUGCCAUAGAUGCCCAACCUUGGAGUGAAAAGAAAAUAAGAGUUAAAUUGAAUAGGAGAUAGAAGAAGCUUUGUUGGAGUCUAAAUACUUGAAAUUACUAGAAAAGUGAUGAGAUCAAGCUGAGAUAACAAGAAAGGAGGAUUUGACUGGGAUGGUUUGAAAACUAGAGAUUGUGAAUAAAGAUUUUCAAUUUGCAUAUUUAAAGAUCAACCCUGUUUAAUAAGCUGAUAGAAGUUGUUUUGAAUCAUCUCUUGGUCCAUUGGAUUUAUUUUUUCCAAGGACUCCUAUUUACUGUAUUGCUUACAUUAUUAAGAAUAUCUAUGGCCUUUAGACUUGAAUUUGCAGUUAAUAAACUAUUUAGUAACACUUUGUUUUAUUCAGAAUUUUGUUGGCAUUCCUUCACCAUCUUUUGGCAUUGAGCAUUGCUGUGAAGA